ensembl:lncRNA novel transcript, sense overlapping BRMS1L
AUGCGCAGUGAUGGAAGUGCAAAGGCAGGAGAUGGGUCUGGGAAAGACUCCAGUCACGGUCACUUCCAGGGCAGAAGAAGCCAUAGUCAAGGGUAAUUGCAAGCCAGGGAGCAUGCAAUUUAUUGAGUUCAGGCAUUUUGGGAAAGCGUAAAGAAGUGAAGGAUUGGGACAUGAGGCAAAGAUGCCAAGGUUUGCUGCAGUGAGAUGCGGGAAGGCUCUGCCGCACUAAGCUCUCUACAUGGCCGAGGCACCAGACCAGAAUGCGCCCUUUCGACAGGCAGAGAGAGCCAAAGGGGAAAAGAGCUGAGUCAAGGCUGCCAAGUUCCUGCUUCCAGCCCUACCAGCCGGUCACUCGCGCCUUGCAAUGAGGAAACCAGGAGUCCUAUCUAGAGCCUUUCCAUAGUUGUGGGAAAGAAGAUGGGUAAAGUUAUUGUUAAUCUACAGAGGAAGGAAUGAUGCCAAGUUUUUCAAGGCUUCCAGAGUCACAGGAGGAGUCACUUGGUAAAUCCAGGAGCAGAAACCAGGUACCAGUUGGAAGACCACAAUGUGUUUGUUCAGACCUGUGGGCCUCCUGGAUCCUUAGCAAAAGACCACACAGACAAGUGUUGAAUGCAGCUUUUAAAAGUAUGGAAGGGACAGUAAGACAGUUCUAAGCGUGGACUAGAAUAUAAUUUAAGGUUUCUGUGACACGGUGUUAGGACUCUUUCCUAGAAUUAUGAGAGCUGAACUAACAGCUCCCAGAUAACUGAAGCAUAAUAAUUAAUCUAGAAAAGCGGCCUCUUCUUUUCUGUGGUUGAACCUAAGUGUAGUUUUUACUUUUAACUAAAACUAGGUCAAUUAAGACCAUUGGAAUUCUGUGACUGAGGAUGUGUGGUGUUUAUUGGGGAUUUAAAAUAAGAUUUUUGUUCUUUUAUAAAUUUUAAUAUAAAUAGAUUGUUUUCCCUAUAGUAUUUAGUGUUAAUUAAUGGGGCUGACACAAUUAAUGGCAUCAAGAACAUAUAAUUAUGUUUAUUAUACUAAGAAAUUAUGCAAUUACGUAGUUGUUUAAUAGGUUAAGUGAUCUUAUAGAUAUUUUUAUCGUUUUUGCAACAGCUUUAUCCUGAUUUCUUUGUGAGAAAGCUUUUAAUGUUUCAAAAAUGUUGAGACAGACUUUUGUUAAAUUAAUCGCAUGAAAAAUAGUAUAUCUUUUUCAGUAACUGGGGAUUUUCAUAAAAGCCAUCAAAGAUAUAAUAUUAGAAGAUCUGCUGUUAAGAUAGCUGUUGUCAUAAAAAACUGUUGAUGAAUUUUGAAUUUUGACUAUUAACUGUCCAUGCUAAUCAGAUAUUCAGAGAACAAUAAACAGCAUUUGCUAAAUUCAU